rnacentral:misc_RNA from 1 species
AAGUCGUAACAAGGUUUCCGUAGGUGAACCUGCGGAAGGAUCAUUAUUGAAUCCAAUGGAUGUUGCUGGCAUCCGCAAGGGUGCAUGUGCACUCUGCCUUUUCAAUCCACCUGUGCACUCAUUGUAGGUGAUGGAUUAAGUUCUGUUGCCUAUGUCUUUAUACACCCAAAAAAUGUUAUAGAAUGAAAUUUGAUGUAAUCAUACAACUUUCAACAACGGAUCUCUUGGUUCUC